GGGGUUCUUGCCCCCACUUAGCACCUCACACUCCUCUUCCAGCCAGGGGCACAGGAACAAAAUCAGGCUAAAGGCGACCAGGCCGAGUCGUUGAGGAAUGCUGGGGUUUGGCGUCAGAAGGGAUGGGACCAGAGAGAAGGGUGUGAAGGAGACCCCAGUAGGGGCAGGACACUGCAGGUAAAGAAGGGGAAGAAGAGGCCGAGAAGUCAAGGGCCAGGCCCUGAAGGAGAAUAAAGGAGGUCAAAGAGAGGUCGUAUCUUCGUACCUCACUUCCUGACACAAACAACUUUUUACUGUUGUCAGCAACAAAUCCCUAAUAUAGCUGCGGAAUAGAAAAACUGCAUUGCAUUUUGCCUCCUGCAAGCAUCAUCAACAGUUACCGGAGGAAUGUGAUUCCAGAAAGCUUUAAAGCUGGUGGUGAUGGUAAUUAUGUAUCAAAUGCCUGAUGCUAUUUCUGUGGUUAUUGUUUUGUCAUUUCUGCUCUACGCAAGAGCUGGCGGAACUCGCAGAGGAACGCAUCCAGUUUUUCUUUUUAACUUUGUAAAAAUUAAUCAGACUUGAUAGAAAACUCAUUGCUCUUGGGGAAAAUAAAGUAGGAGCCACGAAAUGUCACGUUAGCAGAGCGUGGGCUCAGUGACUUAAGGACUCGAGGACGCGCCUUCUGCUCUGGGCGCUCUGUAUGGAGCGCAGGCCCCACGCACGCACCGACGCCGCGGCUCCCGGAUGCUGCGGCUCCCGGCUCGGCGCCGCGAGGGGCUCUCGGUGGGUGGUACGGGGCGCAGCCGCCGCCAGUCCCGCCGCUGCUGCCGUUGCGGCUGCAGUCACGUGGGAGCCCCUUUAAGUUUCCAUAGAGAGGCCUCUCCGGUGUCACAUGAUGGACAUGAUAUAAUGAAACAACAUUGUGGAGAGGAAAGCAUUAGGGAGCCCACGGCUACGGAAACAAGUGAGUGAGAAGAGGUGGGAGGAAGAGAAACUACGCCACCUCCCCUGCUGCGGAGCCGCACGCAGCAGCCGGGCGGAGAAGGGGGCGACACCGGGGGGCAGGGAGCCGGGGUCCUCAGGCCCGGCCGGGGAUCUGCCGCCACCCGAAGGGAGCAACUUUUAGCCGGCUGCCUCGGCCAGCACUGCACCUGUCUCCGGGGCCGCCGUCGCUCCUCGUGAUGAUCAAAGGGAAAUUCUAGAAGAAUAUGCUCCACAAAUAUACAUGUGCAUCAUUUCCCCCCUUGCGUCUCGCUCUGGAAGAAGGAAAGAGAAAGGGAUUUAAGCAGCUGCGCGUCUUCAGCCCUAAGCACCACCACACCUCCCUGGAAUAGCACUUCUUAGUUCUUGGAUUGAGCGAUACGGUAGGAUUUCACCUCGCUUGUUUUCAGGGACUCUCUUAACUGGUUAAAAGAAUUGGAUAUUUCACCAUGUGGAGUUUCUCUGCCUCACUGAUGAUCUAAGGUCAAACCUGCCAGUUUAUGGGGGAUAAUAGACCCUGUAACAUCUGAGUAAGUAGAUGCUGCUGUGUUUGUUUUACUAUUUGAAAGAAAUUAGUUUCCUAACUUUAAAGUUUUAAAAUAUUCAUGUUUUAAUUGUGUUUUUCAAAUUUUGUUGAAUAAUGAUAGCAGUAUUUUAAUUUCAAUAAGCAAAUAUUUAUAAAAGAUUUCUGAAAGAUAUCCCUGUUGAUAAAAAAAAAGUCAAUGGAAACAUUUUCUAUAAAUAAUACUUUACUUUUUAAGAGACAUAGUGAGGACCUAAAUUGCAUGUAUUAAAAAUGUUAAAGCAUUCUCCUUGGUGCUUUAUUUUACUUUAUAUUAUGAAACGCAAUAUUACUGGUAGAGCAGCCAUUAUGAAAUUUUAAAUGCAUCUAUAUCUACACAAAAAUGGUCUUUUAAAAUGAAGUGUAUUUUGGUUAACUUGAAAUAAAUGCUGGUUUGUUUUGUGGAAAUAGAAUUUAAUAGUUCUAUUUGAAAAUAAUGAUUUUUUUCCCUGCUAAUAUAGAUAAGAACAUAGACUUUCUGGAUUUAUUUAGGUUUCUUAAUUUGAGUAGACUAAGAAAGAAGGGCAUUCAUUCUUUCUAAUCAAACAUCUGAAUGAAAUUUAAAGAGUUGAGCCAUUUAUCUUGAUACAAAUUGUUUCUCAGAAUGAAAGCUAUUAUUCUUUGAAUUGUAUAUGUAAUGAAACUGUUUUGAAAAAAUGAGGAAACCAUGAGGUUGUACCAGAGCCUUGUUUUGGAAUGCUAAGUUAAAAACAGUAAAUAUACAAGAUGUUCCCCAUUACAAUGGGAUUAUUUAGUUUUGGUCUCUAUAUCUGUGCAGUCCAAUGUGGUAACCACUGGCCACAUGUAGCUAUGACAUUUGAAAUUGUCAUUUUCAAAAAUUCAAAGCUAGUCCUGAGAUGUGCUAUACGUAAAAUACACAUUUCAAUUUAGUAUGAAAAAAUGGUAAAAUAUAUUUGUGUGUGUUGUGUGAAUCAGAUGUUGAAAUGGUAAUGUUUUGGACAUAAUAGGUUAAAUAAAACCUUAAA